rnacentral:rRNA from 1 species
CUACGGGGCGCUGCAGGCGCGAAACCUUUACAAUGCACGAAAGUGUGAUAAGGGAACUCCAAGUGCUCAACUAUGUUGGGCUUUUGUUAAGAGUAAAUAUCUUAACGAAUAAGUGGUGGGCAAGACUGGUGCCAGCAGCCGCGGUAACACCAGCGCCACGAGUGGGAAUCAGAUUUAUUGGGCCUAAAGCGUUCGUAGCCGGUUGUAUAAAUUCUUUGUGAAAUCGUCAGGCUUAACCCGACGGACUGCAGAGAAGACUGUACAACUUGGGACCGGAAGGGGUUAGGAGUAUUCUUUGGGGAGCGGUAAAAUGCUAUAAUCCAAAGAAGACUACCUGUGGCGAAGGCGCCUAACCAGUACGGAUCCGACGGUGAGGAACGAAAGCCAGGGGAGCGAUCCGGAUUAGAUACCCGCGUAGUC